rnacentral:rRNA from 1 species
UACGUAUGGUGCAAGCGUUAUCCGGAUUUACUGGGCGUAAAGGGAGCGCAGGCGGCGCGCCAAGUCUGAUGUGAAACCCCGGGGCUCAACCCCGGGCAUGCAUUGGAAACUGGCGGGCUGGAGUGCCGGAGAGGUAAGCGGAAUUCCUAGUGUAGCGGUGAAAUGCGUAGAUAUUAGGAGGAACACCAGUGGCGAAGGCGGCUUACUAGACGGCAACUGACGCUGAGGCUCGAAAGCGUGGGGAGCAAACAGG